GACAGAGGCCUCGAGCGUUAGGCGGAAUCACUGGGCUUAAAGCGCGUGUAGGCGGAUCGUUAAGUGUAGAGUGAAAGCUCCGGGCUCAACUCGGAAAUUGCUCUGCAUACUGGCGGACUCGAGGACGGAAGAGGUUUGUGGAAUUCCUGGUGUAGCGGUGAAAUGCGUAGAUAUCAGGAGGAACACCCAUGGCGAAGGCAGCAAACUGGUCCGUAUCUGACGCUGAGGCGCGAAAGCGUGGGUAGCAAACAGG
rnacentral:rRNA from 1 species